UGUAAUAAAUAUUAGACUUAUGUGUAUAAGUAUUAGUGUGUAUAUAUGUGUGUAUAUAUACUUAUAUGCAAAAGUACACUAAUACUUGCAUGUAAUAUGUAUGUCAUAUUAUAUUGAUAAUGGUAGCAAUUUAGCAUAUGGGAGAUAUAUUUUCCAUAAUGUUAAAACUGGGUGUUAAGGUCCUGAAAUUCAUAACUCUAAUCAGUACGACAAAUAUACAUUUCUUUAGGCAUCAAAGUUUAAUCAUCAGAAUAGAAAAACGUAAUUUCAGUGAUACUUUGCAGAGAAUAGUAUACUAAUAGCCUGGCUGACAAGUGUCCAAAAUAAUAUUCUUUUAAAAUUUGAAAUAAUCAAUAAAGUAAUAUGAUUGAAAUCACUUACAUAUCUCACCUAUAUAUAUAAUUAAGUGAUGAUGAAAAACACAUUUUGUAACUUAAUCCUAAGUGCGCAAAAACUUGUAAUGAAGCUACUUUUUCUUUGUUUGUUUGACCUAAAACCAUUAUGCUUCAAAUGAUGUUAUAGAAGAGGGAAAUUAGAAUGGGAGAAGUUAAAAUUCUAGUUUUUAAACAUACUUCAAACUCCCGUGUGCAAGAGCUUUAGGGAUGGCAUUUAAAACCUGAAUGUGAGUAUUUCAUUUUUGCUAUUGUGCCAACUAAAAAUAUUUGUAGCUGCAUCUGGAAGAUGUAGGAAAGCUGCAGCCAUUUGAUUUAUGGACUCCACAAGAGGAGUGUCUAGGACAGGGGCUUUUAGUCUUCAGUGAAGUCUUUGAAUUCAUAAACAUCUUGCAAAAUCCUAUUCAUACACACAGAAAAUGUAUUUAAGCAACACUGGUUUGCAGGAAGCGGGGCACACAAAAGAAAUUAUUGAAUAAUUAGGGUUCAAAUACUCAAAAUUGGGCAAUGUUGUGUAGUUGUGAUCUCUUCUGGGUAUUUUCUCAUCUGAACUUCCUUUUGUUUGAAUUUUCCUGAAAUUCUAGGCAAGCAGUUAAUUUGGCUGAAUUGCUUCUUGGAAUAGAAAAUCUCAUGGCCCUAAUAACUAUUAAGCAAAUUCUGGAGAUUAAUUCACCAUGAUUGUUGUGUUUUAUGAAGACACAUUUUGCCUGGUGGAAUGUGCUAUUGCCAUAAGAUAGAAGCCUCAGACAUGUCGAGAUGUCAGCAGGGGUUGAGUCAGCAAGUGAAAAACCCAUUUGUGCAAGUUGAAAGUUAUCUUCUGGAUGAGGGUACCAUGUGGUCAGCCGGUGGCUGCUUAGUGUGAAUAUUCUUGGGACAUGUUAAAUACAAAGUUGGGUGAGGAUGACCAUCCAGGGUUGUAAGACAGGGAGUCAUUUAGCGGCUAAUCAAAUAAGCAUGUUUUCAUGUAUUUGGAAUCAGAAUGAAGUCCUACAAUUCUGUGGGGAAUAGAAGAACGAUAGGAGAAAAGAGUGGCUUCAUGGAAGUCUGCUCCACCAAUUUCAUCUGGUCUUCUGUGUCAUUUUGUAUGCUUCCUUUUCCCUUUGCAUCUUCCAGAAGUUCCAUUCUCUAUCCUGGAUGAAGAGCCACACCAGCACCAGGCCUUGGCUCCGCACCUUUAUUAGUUUCAGGAAUUUCAUUGUCCUUAAUUCAUCGGCCUUGGAACAUUUCGAUGGAGUAUAGUGAUGGUGGGCCCAGAAUCUGGAGGAAGGCACAUCAAGGCUGCUGCAUGGCUUACCCACUCCUUUUCUGUUAAGACCUUGGAGCUGAAACUGUCUUCCAUCUCUCGAGUACCUUCUAUCCCACCCUCCUGGCUGAGGUGAUUCUCCAAAGUGAACUUGAUGGCCUACUCUUCCUCCUGCCCUUACAGCAGGCUUUCUCUUCCCGACAUAUUCACAGUCCUACAUCAGUUUCUGCCUUAUCUUGGUAACUGGCGCUCAGGUCAAGGAAUAAACUGUUUACAACAAAAGAGCAACAGGGUCUCGUCGGGAAGAUGAUCCUCUCUGGUUUCUUCCUCCCACCAGUGUGACCUACUGAUCUCCAGAAGAAUCCCAACGAGUGCGCCAGAUAUGCAAUUCGUAAGCAGUCUUUUAUUCUCUAUAGUUAGGGUGACUGGCUAAUAUCUCUUUGAAUCUAUCAAAGCAAUUUUUUUUUAUGUCCUCCUUCUUGGAAUUUUAUUUCCACAUGUGAGACUGAGUAGCCUGUAUGGAAUUCAUAGUUCACCUUUGACUUCAAAAUCUGCACCAGCAGCCCCUAGUGAACAAAAUAGCAGCCAGCGGAUAGAUCUAGUUUAUUUCCAUUUCCAUCCGUCUGUGACCCUUUUCAGUUCCCAUCGUUUCAGCUUAACAAUUUCAUUUUUCACUCUAAUGUCUUUAUCCAUUUGGACAGAGAUUACAUUUCCCAACAUGGACAUUGUCUCCAGCUGAGAGGUUUUUUCUUUUCUCUUUCUUUCUUUCUUUCUUUCUUUCUUUCUUUCUUUCUUUCUUUCUUCUUUCUCUCUCUCUCUUUUUUUUUUUUUCUAAGAUCGAGAUCACGGAACAAUGUUUUUCUUAUUUUCAGUUCUUGGUAGCCAAAAUUCUGGUCGUUGGAACAGAAGCUGAAGGGGGUAAAGUCAAUAUUAAUUAAACAUAUCUUCAGUGAUAACACAUACAUUCGUCUACUUUGGAAUUAGUGCCCUUGGUGUUUCCUCCGCGAGCUCCAUGAAAUACAGGUGUUUCUUUUGGUGAGUGGGGCAGAAGUUUAGCCCAGUGGUUAGACAAUUUGACACUGGACUCAGGCUGAACUACGUUUUCAUCUUUACCAUUGCGUGGUCUUUGUUGAGUUACUUAACAUCGCUAAACCACAUCUAUAGAAGGGGAUUAAAAACACUGACUUACAGAAAUACUUGAAAUGUAAAUGAGAGUAAUCAAUCUAAAGAAUUUAGUGGUUCCUGUUAGACUGGCCAUCAUCAAAAAGACAAGAGAUAACCAAUACUGGUGAAGACGUGGAGGAAAGGGAGCCCUCAUGCACUGUUGGUGGCACUGUGAACUGGUACAGCAACUAUGGAAAACAAUAUGGAGGUUCCUCAAAAAAUUAAACAUUGAACUACCAUAUGAUCCAGAAAUUCCACCUCUGGGAAUGCAUCCAAAGGAAGCUAAAACACUAAGUCAAAAACAUCUGCACUCACAUGUUUAUAGAGCAUUAUUUACAACAGCCAAGACACGGGGACAAUGAAAGCAUCCAUCAAUAAAUGAAGAGAUAAAGAAGUUGUGGUAGGGCCGCCUGGGUGGCGCAGUCGUUAAGGGUAUGCCUUCCGCUCAGGGCG